UAUACAAAAUAUUGUCGAGUGCAUGUAUGAAAAUUUAUAUAUUUAACCAUAUUAUCAAAAACUUUAGAAAAGACUUUCCCAUUCAACCAAUUGUCGAAUACGACCCGAAUUUUAGAUUCUAGAUCAAUGUUAAGUUUACACUAACAAUAUCAUCAGUUACUCAUCAGAUUGUCUUAUCCAACUAAUUUGUACAGAAAGCGAGCCGACGAAGAAAAAGUAGGUGAUAGAUGAUAAGACAUUAAAAGGAUCGGUUGAUAAUAGUAAAAAGAAUCGGACAAAGCACACAUUAUUUUUGCAGAAACUAUGUUCGCAGUGGGGCUCACGAAUCAAAGAUAACGAUGGCGAUGGAUUCAUACUCGAAAUAAUAGAAAUAGUUUCAUUUUUUAACAGAGCCUACAUUCUUAAAUGACCUUCUAAUACCUCAAGGAUAGAACGUCAGAAAAAUUGAGAUGCCAAGAAGAAGCAGCUUUUGCUCAAUAAUAAUCAAUAUCUAGUGCUUUUCUUACAUCUUACCUUAAAUCAUACCUUUACAGAUAUUCUGUCAAUGAAAUCUUUAUAACUAUACAUUUAUUAUAAUGCUCAAGAUGAAUGUUAAUAUGACUUAAAUUACCAUAGCAAUAAUAAAUUUUCAUACUCUUUUAA